rnacentral:lncRNA from 1 species
GUAAUACACCACUACAAUAGGGAAAACCGUGCAGCUGAACUGAACACAACCUGGGUUUGUACAGAGGCGACUGGGCAUCACAAAGGGAGAGCGAGGGAACAGGGAGGGCGCUGAGAGGGGCUCAGUAGUCAGGGAGGCGAAAAUGACGGAAAGCGGGAAGGGCGGGUUGGGCCACGUGACACCCAGCUGCGUCUGCUGAAGGGAGCUUACGAUGUUCGGCCCCCACCCUCCCACAGAGGCUGGGAGACGAGCCCUGUCCUCAGGCGUUGCCUGGAAAAGACAGUAAAUUCCUCAAGCAGGCGUUUCAGAGGGACGAGGGUCAUUCUAGGGAUGUGAACCCGAGCUGUUAGAAACUGUGUUAGCGUUUCUUCAAUUAGAGGUCCAGGUUGAGGCCCGACUGAGAAGAGGGCUCAAGAUCCCGGCCAGACUCUGGUCUGGGAGAGGCUUCGUCAGCAUAUCCCAGCAGCAGCCUACUGCUAAACGAUGAUAGAAAAAAUAACGUAUCUGUUUCCUCGUGCGCCACGCACUAUUCCUAACCAUGAACUUAAUGAUAAACGAGUCGCGACUGCUUGAAGAGCAAAGUUUUCACCCUGAAGAUAAAAGAAGGCCACGCAAUGAGGUUGGAUGGGAGAGCGGCAGAACCGACCGAGGGCCUCCUGCAGGCGCGCCCAGCCCUCCCUGCGACCCCCUCGGCCUGAGUCCUCGGCGGUUGACCCCGGGAACCAGUGGACACGUGCGGGGCGCGAGAGGUAACCCAGCCGCCCACCGCACUUAAAGCAGCAGGAUAAAGGCCUCCAAUUGGUCGCGUUGGUCAGGUGGCCCGUUUAGACCAAUCAGCUCUGGGCUUGGGCGGGGCCAACUGGGGGCUGAGAGGCAGGGCCGGGGCGGGGCCAGGGAGGCUGCGGCUGCCAAGGCAGCCUGGGAGGGACCCGGGGUGCGAGCUCCCUGGAGCACGGUUAGCCCGGUGGAGCUGAGGCUCUGCGGAGGCGGGAGGAGGUAUGUGGUCCGCAGGUCGCGCCUGUGCCCGAGAAGGACCCACCCCAGGAGCAGACGAGCCGACCCUGCACGUCUGGAGAUGACCUGACGGCUCGUGCUCACACGUCCGAUCUCCCCUUCCAUCCUGUUCCUCUCUGAAUUUUUAAUUUCAUU